UUGCGGGUGCUAUACAUGCAGUCGAGCGCAGGAAGCAAGUUGAUCCCCUUCGGGGGUGACGCUUGUGGAAUGAGCGGCGGACGGGUGAGUAACACGUGGGCAACCUGCCUGUAAGACUGGGAUAACCCCGGGAAACCGGGGCUAAUACCGGAUAAUACUUUCUUUUGCAUAAAGGAAAGUUGAAAGGCGGCUUCGGCUGUCACUUACAGAUGGGCCCGCGGCGCAUUAGCUAGUUGGUGAGGUAACGGCUCACCAAGGCGACGAUGCGUAGCCGACCUGAGAGGGUGAUCGGCCACACUGGGACUGAGACACGGCCCAGACUCCUACGGGAGGCAGCAGUAGGGAAUCUUCCGCAAUGGACGAAAGUCUGACGGAGCAACGCCGCGUGAGUGAUGAAGGUUUUCGGAUCGUAAAACUCUGUUGUUAGGGAAGAACAAGUUGGGUAGUAACUGACCCAGCCUUGACGGUACCUAACCAGAAAGCCACGGCUAACUACGUGCCAGCAGCCGCGGUAAUACGUAGGUGGCAAGCGUUGUCCGGAAUUAUUGGGCGUAAAGCGCUCGCAGGCGGUCCUUUAAGUCUGAUGUGAAAUCUCGCGGCUCAACCGCGAACGGUCAUUGGAAACUGGAGGACUUGAGUACAGAAGAGGAGAGUGGAAUUCCACGUGUAGCGGUGAAAUGCGUAGAGAUGUGGAGGAACACCAGUGGCGAAGGCGACUCUCUGGUCUGUAACUGACGCUGAGGAGCGAAAGCGUGGGGAGCGAACAGGAUUAGAUACCCUGGUAGUCCACGCCGUAAACG
rnacentral:rRNA from 1 species